GUCUACAGCUGUGCCACCCUGAACGUGCCCGAUCUCAUUUGAUCUCAGAAGCUAAGCAAGGUUGGGCCUGGUUACUGCUUGGAUGGGAGACCACCUGAGAAUACCAGAUGCUGUAGGUG
rnacentral:rRNA from 1 species